CCCUGUUCCUCUCUCCACUCUUCUGCCCCUUAAACCUCUGCUCUCCCUCUCCCUCCCCCUCCCAUUGCCAUCAACCCAAGCAAGCUCCAAAAGCCUAAAUUCCCAUCAUUCCCCAUCUCUCCCUCGUCUUCUCCCGAAAUCCCCUUCUUGAGGCGAACACAUGUUCCUUCACUUCGCCUGUCGAUGGUCUCGGCAAGGAAGCCAAGCUCGAGCUCCUCGGCAAGCCGUCCCCGAUCCCAACGCCGACGAUAAAAAACUUUCCACCCCCGGAAAUGGAAGGGGCCUUAGCCCCGUCUCGAAGUUCUUUAAACCAUGGGGCUCCGACUCCGAAGCCAAGGUCGGAGAAGAGAGCGAUCCGGAGGGCACCAGAGAUCCGCCGAGGAGGAGAAAGAAACGAAAGGGUCGUCGGCGUUCGGGUUUAGGACUAUGAUCCGAAGUCUGGUGAUUUGCUGGUCGGGGAAUGAGAACAAGCUCGACGAAAAUAUCGGCGCAGAUAUGUUGGGCACGAUGAGGAAAUCUGCUGUGAAGGAUGCUGUGGUGUCCUUGAGUGGUGCCGGCAAAGAUGGGGAUUGUGAUAUGAGGAAGGUUGCUCGGGAGUCUUGGUUCUUUGCCGGCAAAGCCGGGGAUUGUGAAGGAUGAGGAGGUCUUGAGUGGUGGGAGGGUGCUGGGAAGCCCGGUUGUCGAGGUGGGAACGGUUCUUUUUGCCGAGAUGCUCCGUCGGACAUUGAGCGGGCGGCCGCUGUUGUCAACAUGAAGGAUGUUCCGGAGGGUCGCGUCGCACCAACGCAGAUAGAGCAACUCAGUGAGCCGAUAGAGUCUAAAAUUUUUGAGUGGAAUAAUGGAUGGCUUCUCAUCAGAAUGGAGGGUCUGCGAGCGUUGCUUCCUAAAGCUGAGUUGAUGAACGGAAUUAAUAGUUUCACCAGUUUGAAAGAUAAUGGCGGUUGCCUGAUAUAUAUGUGUAUUAGCAAGAUUGGUGAAGCAACUAAUGACCUGAUAAUUAGGGAGAAGAGGCUUGGGUUCGUGCAUAGAUAUAUAUGGCCACCCUUCUAUGUUUGUAACGUUCUACAAGCUAAACCUGCCAUUUUAGUUGAUUGCAAAAUUUUGUAGCUGCUGCCUCAAAAGUCAGAUAUUCUUCCAACACAUAAGGAUAUGUAUGCCUUGAAAUGUAAAUAAAUGAAGUUAGACUUUUUGCAGGUCACAUAAGUGGAAACCUGAAGAUCCUUAUAAGUAAAGGUUAUGAAUCAUGCAUCUUUAAUCAUUUAUAGUAAUGAAGAGGACAUGUUAUGCUUAAAGAAGGAAACUCUUUUAAAAGGUACCGUUCGCUAAUUUUUUACAUAUUGAGCACAAGCAAGGAUAGGUGAGACUAACAGAAGGUAAAAAUGUUUGGAACCUUCCUAUUGCAUUUAUACCCUUUAUAUAUAUUGUUUGCGUAGCUUUGGAAGUGAAUUGGGAUGCUAAGUUUACUAUCAUAAAUAAAUUAGCUUCUCACAUAUUAUUCUAGAUAGAUUCUGCAGAAGCUUUCUUGCUUUUUUUUUCUUUUUUUUCUUUUGAAUGAUGAUGAUUAACAUGGGCAAUACCUUGCAUUGCAUACGAAUUACUUUAAAUAAACCACAUCAGCAGCUCAUGCUUUAUGGUUUAAAAGAGCUAUAGGAUAAUAGUAUGUAAUGCUUGCUUAUGGAGUUCCAAAGACUCAGACGAUGUUCUUUUCUAUUCCCUAGCUGCAUAGACUAAAGCUUUUUAGUAAUGCACUAAAUCUAAGUAACACUCAUUCUUUAAAGGAAAAGGCCCAAUGAUUUCUGGUAAUGUUUGCCUUGACAGUUUGUGUGGCCCUUUAUUCUCAGAGUGGGAAGCUACCAAGUGUUUAUAGGAAAAAUUUUGCAAGAUAACUACAUUUUGCUUAUCUCUGAGUAGGGGAUUUGUUGGUUUGCAUGCUCAUUAACAUCUAUUUUUGUUAUGGUUCGAAAACCUUGGUUUUGGCUUUCGCUUCGGCCUUUGUGGAGUUUUGGUUUUGGCAUGUUUCAAUGAUUUUGGAAGUUUUGCUUCAAGUUUCGGAGUUUCGGUCAAAAAAUCGAGAAAAAGUCUAAAAAUUCAAAAAAAAAUGGAACAAAAGAUGAGUCAAAAAAGUUUCAGACAAUAUAUUUGAGUAUUUUUGUGCUAUACUAGCUCUUUAUUUGCAUGGUUUCCGACGGUGUUAGGCUGACGUUAGGUAUUGUAACAGGUGAAAGUAUAUUGCCAGUUUUGCUAGGAAACAUAUUAUGUACAUAAAAUAUGCAGUAUUUUCUCCCAUGAAUUUCAGAUGGUAGAAAGGUCAUUAUGUUUACCAAUUUUAAAAACCUUUUUGUACAUUCAAAUCUUCUCCUAUUUUCCCAGUAGAAGUCACAAAACACAUUGAAUUCUUUAUGUUUUUGAAGUUAAGUGGCAUUUAAAUCAUUUGCACGCAGUUAAAGAAUGUUAUUUACUAUAAUAAGAAUGUCAUAUCUUUGAAAUGUCUCAUGUCUCGUUGUUUUAACUAAUCUUUUUAAUAUGUUUGUCAAAAGGGGUCAUAUUUUGGAUGCCUCAACCCAUCAAGAUUAUAUCAUUCAUCUACCUGUCUUUUAACCUAAGAGAAAGAAAUAAAAUCAUUGAUAAGUAAUAUUAUAUAGGCUAUGUGCUUAAAUGCAUAAAGAAAUGAUCCCAAAUAUAGUUGUAAACACCAAAAUAAUACUUAAAAUAUCCUAACAUUAAAUGGCAGAGAUCUUCACAAUGAUGGUCUCAGGCCUUUCCAUCGCACAUUCUCAAUUGCCGACAUGUCAAAUGGCCCUGCAGUUGGCUUGUUGCUUCCUCUGCCAUCGAAGAUGCUAACGAUACCAUCAUUAAGUGCUCUCUUUGAGGUUCGGGAGCCAGAGAAACAUGCUUAGCUAACCAUGCCUUCUUUAAUGAAACCUUGUUUUUGUACACCUGGAUAGUUCCCUGCAUCGCAUUGGUAUUUUGGUGGUUGACACAUUGCCCCUUGAUUGAUCAGCUCCUGUGAGUAUCUUGGUGCUCUCUAACUUGAUUGGCAUCAGAGUUCAAUGCAACAUGUCCUCUCAGGCCUCUUUUGGCAAUUAUGGGCAUUUCCUUCCCUACGUCAGGGUCAUAUGUCCUGUUAUUCAGAUAAGCAUUCUGAUGAGACCGGCUUUUCCCAACUAUUCCAUCACAUGCCAUAGCGCGUUAAAUCACCUCCAGCACUGCCCAUGCCUCUUGACAUGUGUCGCAGCCAGUGAUUCAUAAAAUACGUAGGGUAGGGUUUAAAGAUUAAAUAUGUCCUAAUCAUUUGUAUGUCUAUAGGCCGUCUUUAACCAGACAAACAAUAUGAAAAGUACAUUUGAUCAGAAUUUAUAUGGAUGUGUCUGCACAUAAAAUGCUUCAUUAAGCUUAGACAACAUCUACAGCUGCACAGAAAAGUUUUAAUGGAUCUGAUUAUGAUCCUGAUUUUCUGUACUUCAUAUAACCAACUUUGAACUGGAGUUGGAUCCUCUAUUUGUUCCUGCUUGAUAUCUAGCUAAGGUAUUUUGUGUAAAUGAAGGGGCCGGCUAUAAUAAGCCAAGAAAAUUGAUCAUGAAGCAAGUUCUACCGGAAAGUUAGCACAUUCUACGGUUUAAACUCUUGCAAUUUGGGUCCAAUCUCCUAGAUCCUUUGAGCAUGGAAAAAUGUCUGGAUGAAAAAGGAAAACAGCAAGGAUUAUUUUGCUUCUCUCUGGGACCCAAAUAAUUAACCAAAUGCCAAACUGAAUCACGAUAUGUUGUUUACUGGCUUAAAUUUUUUCUGUAUGCUGAUUAGCAUCAUUCUGGUUUUGUAUAAAAUAAUCAUAUUCACUUCUAUAGAAUUAUAUUGAUCUUAUUCACUGGAGGGGCACUCAAUCUUUGGAGGGUGCGGAUCAAGUCAGACAGCUGGAACUCUUCAAGCAAUCUAACACACGACUUGUACAAUUUAACAGCAGAACUUGAAGCCCAAUAUUAGACAGCUGCGUAGAAGAUAAUAAGCAUAAUUUGUCGAUUAAUAUUUUUGCAUUGCUUCUUCUUUAUUGGUUGUCGGACUCAGUGGUGCAAGCAUGCAUGACAUGCGCACACAGAGAUAUACUGCAUUCAACUUGAUUUAUAUUUUUGAUCUGUCAAAAUCGUCUCGACUGAAUUUCCAUUCAAGUUGUGUCAGUAUUUCUUCUCUAUGUCAGGGAUCAAGAGCAGCAGAGAUUACAUUUUAUUGGAUAGUUGCAACUUAAGAGAACCUGUUAUUGGAUACCUUGAAAUGCAAAGUGGGUUCCUGCAUAUCUCAAACAUAAUUCAUUCCCAUGUCUGUAGUAAAAAAUUGAUGAGAAGGUGAAAAGUUCUCCUUGUGAAGUCAACGCUUCCUGACAAAAUUUUCCCUUAGCAUUGCAGAUCUUGAGAGUGAGCCUGGAUUAUGUCUUUGAAACAAAGAGAAAGUGUUUUCUGAGGUUGAAGAGAGGGCUAAAAGAUAUUCACUAGGUUUACCAGUCAUUUCUGCAACUCGUUGCACAUGCUUUCCAGCUGAUGCAUUCCCCUUGAGGAUGAAGCUUAAUUAUACUGGAAACUGGAAAUGAUUCAAAUCUGAACAAAAUGAUGAAUUGAGUGGCAAUGACAAUGCUGUGUCGUGAUGAUAAUGUUAAGAUAUUUUGCCACCAUUUUAGAUGAGAUCAUUCAGAUCUUUGGUCAAAUCGGAGCCUAAAUGCUUUGCAACUGAGAAAGGAGUAAAGCGCGAGUUUCAUCCUCUGACAUUCAGAGAUGCAGGAAUGAAUUGUUCUUGGUAUUGUGUUAUACAGAACUAGAAGGGGGCUGAGCAAAAGCUCAGAAUUAUUGUCCCAACCAUGAAAGGAAGAUGUGUUCUUCCUCACUAUUUGUUCAGCCUAUUAUUGAUUUCAUGUAGGAAUUCUAUCACCACCUAUCAUGUUGUAUCAACAGUGUAACAUCUUCCCUAGUAUGAGUACCGAUCUAUUAUGUUAUGGAUCUUUGCGUCUAGGCCUCUGAGCAGAUGUUUUAGCUGUUUAAGAACCAUGAGUUAGUUGAGUUGGCGAAUGCUUUGUACAAAGAGAUGUUCUCAGAUAAAAAGUAAUCUUGCAUCGACUUGGCA